CACUAAGAAGCUUAUAUAGCAUCAGCCUUUUAAGUUGAAGAAGAAAACCUUUUCCUUGGUGG
rnacentral:tRNA from 2 species